UUACCUCAGUAACGGCGAGUGAAGCGGUAACAGCUCAAAUUUGAAAUCUGGCUCUUUCAGGGUCCGAGUUGUAAUUUGUAGAAGAUGCUUCGGGUGUGGCUCCGGUCUAAGUUCCUUGGAACAGGACGUCAUAGAGGGUGAGAAUCCCGUAUGUGACUGGCUGCCUCCGCCCAUGUGAAGCUCUUUCGACGAGUCGAGUUGUUUGGGAAUGCAGCUCAAAAUGGGUGGUAAAUUUCAUCUAAAGCUAAAUAUUGGCCAGAGACCGAUAGCGCACAAGUAGAGUGAUCGAAAGAUGAAAAGCACUUUGGAAAGAGAGUUAAACAGUACGUGAAAUUGUUGAAAGGGAAGCGCUUGCAAUCAGACUUGCACGUUGCCGAUCAUCCGGGGUUCUCUCCGGUGCACUCGGUUGCGUUCAGGCCAGCAUCGGUUUGGGUGGUUGGAUAAAGGCCUUGGGAAUGUAGCUUCUUUCGGGGAGUGUUAUAGCCCUCGGUGCAAUGCAGCCUACCCGGACCGAGGACCGCGCUUCGGCUAGGAUGCUGGCGUAAUGGUUGUAAGCGACCCGUCUUGAAACACGGACCAAGGAGUCUAACAUCUAUGCGAGUAUUUGGGUGUUAAACCCAUAUGCGUAAUGAAAGUGAACGGAGGUGAGAACCCUUAAGGGUGCAUCAUCGACCGGUCCUGAUGUCUUCGGAUGGAUCUGAGUAAGAGCAUAGCUGUUGGGACCCGAAAGAUGGUGAACUAUGCCUGAAUAGGGUGAAGCCAGAGGAAACUCUGGUGGAGGCUCGCAGCGGUCUGACGUGCAAAUCGAUCGUCAAAUUUGGGUAUAGGGGCGAAAGACUAAUCGAAACCAUCUAGUAGCUGGUUCCUGCCGAAGUUCCCCUCA
rnacentral:rRNA from 1 species